GCCCCUAUAGUAUAAUGGUCAGUACGCGAGUCUCAUAAUCUCUAGAUCUCAGUUCGAUUCUGAGUGGGGGCA
rfam:Trichosporon asahii var. asahii CBS 8904 unplaced genomic scaffold scaffold00034, whole genome shotgun sequence.